rnacentral:rRNA from 1 species
AACGAACGCUGGCGGCAGGCCUAACACAUGCAAGUCGAGAGAAGCCUUCGGGCUUAGCGGCGGACGGGUGAGUAACGCGUGGGAACGUGCCCUUUGGUACGGAAUAGCCCCGGGAAACUGGGAGUAAUACCGGAUGUGGUCGAGAGCCGAAAGAUUUAUCGCCAAAGGAUCGGCCCGCGUUGGAUUAGGUAGUUGGUGGGGUAAUGGCCUACCAAGCCGACGAUCCAUAGCUGGUUUGAGAGGAUGAUCAGCCACACUGGGACUGAGACACGGCCCAGACUCCUACGGGAGGCAGCAGUGGGGAAUCUUAGACAAUGGGGGAAACCCUGAUCUAGCCAUGCCGCGUGAUCGAUGAAGGCCUUAGGGUUGUAAAGAUCUUUCAGUGGGGAAGAUAAUGACUGUACCCACAGAAGAAGCCCCGGCUAACUCCGUGCCAGCCGCCGCCGUAACAC